AUUGAACGCUGGCGGCAUGCUUUACACAUGCAAGUCGAACGGCAGCGCGGGCUUCUGCCUGGCGGCGCGUGGCGAACGGGUGAGUAAUGCAUCCGAACGUGCCCAGUAGUGGGGGAUAGCCCGGCGAAAGCCGGAUUAAUACCGCAUACGACCUGAGGGUGAAAGCGGGGGACCGAAAGGCCUCGCGCUAUUUGCGCGCCCGAUGUCGGAUUAGCUAGUUGGUGGGGUAAAGGCUUACCAAGGCGACGAUCCGUAGCUGGUCUGAGAGGACGACCAGCCACACUGGGACUGAGACACGGCCCAGACUCCUACGGGAGGCAGCAGUGGGGAAUUUUGGACAAUGGGGGCAACCCUGAUCCAGCCAUGCCGCGUGCGGGAAGAAGGCCUUCGGGUUGUAAACCGCUUUUGUUCGGGAAGAAAUCCUCUGGGCUAAUACCCCGGGGGGAUGACGGUACCGGAAGAAUAAGCACCGGCUAACUACGUG
rnacentral:rRNA from 1 species